AUUGAACGCUGGCGGCAGGCUUAACACAUGCAAGUCGAGCGGAGCGGCGGACGGGUGAGUAAUGCCUAGGAAUCUGCCAGGUGGUGGGGGAUAACGUCCGGAAACGGGCGCUAAUACCGCAUACUCUCAGAUGAGACUAGGUGGGAUUAGCUAGUUGGUGGGGUAAGGGCCUACAAAGGCGACGCUCCGUAACUGGUCUGUGAGGAUGAUCAGUCACACUGGAACUGAGCCACGGUCCAGACUCCUACGGGAGGCAGCAGGGGGGAAUAUUGGACAAUGGGCUCAAGCCUGAUCCAGCCAUGCCGCGUGGGUGAAGAAGGCCUGCGGGUUGUAAAGCCCUUUUGUUGGGAAAGCGGUACCCAAAGAAUAAGCACCGGCUAACUUCGUGCCAGCCGCCGCGGUAAUAC
rnacentral:rRNA from 1 species